UGUCUAUUUGAAGCAUGAGUUUUUCAAUUUAAAUAGCUCUGCUGAUGUCUGCUGAUUCCUCCUACAUGUUUUCACAUGCAUUAAACCAGUUGAUUUUGUAAGAUUAUAUUGUAAACAAGCAAGUUUCUUUCUGUAUUCAUUCAUUAGCCAAUUUGGAGUUUCUGGAUUUUUAUGAUGUGUUGGUUUUGUUGCUUUUUAUUCUUCUUUUGAACUUAUUAGGUACAAAGAAACCCAUUAUAGGAUUAUUGUUGUCAAACAUCAGCGCACAGAGUGUCUCUGGUCAUUAUCUGCCUGAUAAAUAGAGAAGCUUUAAUUUUCAUUGGUGAGUGUUCUGAUCUAAACGACUAAGUCUAAUGGAUAGAUUUUAUUUACAUUUUGCAGCUCAAACUAACUCUGAAUCUUCAGAAGUUCACUGUGUUAGAUUCUCAUUUUUUUACAUCUGAAUGCUUUAAGCCUAAGGCUCCUCUUAGAAGGAAAGCUCUUUGAAGCUCUGGCAUGCUGCUGAGCAACAUUUUAACAGACUAUUUUCUGCUAUCAGGAAGUGUAAUGAGCUGCCUUUUAGGAAAGAAACUGAAGUAAAUUUCUAGGUUCUUACUUUUUGGAGAGCAAGUUUGUUAUACCUAAAAGAGGAAAAACAAAAUCUUCUUCCUUUAUUCUACUGUUUGCAAGGUACUGACAGGCACUGGGAAUGUGGAAUAAAAAUAAAAGUAAAUUAAAUCUACAUGAGUGUAUUCUGUUAUAUUGAUACAUCUUACUGCUCUACACUCAAAAAAAUGUGGAGGGAUGUGCUCCCCUACUCUCACACAUUCACACUCAUACGUUUCUUUAUAGUUAUUUGUGUGUUGCCUGAAAGCCUGAUCCUGGACCAGACAAUGCUGUGCACAGCAUGUGCUGCACAAAAAGGCACCAGCACAGAGUCAAUAAAAAAAAAGAAAACAAUUGAUUUAUGGGAGUGAAAUAAGAAUACUUUACAUGGUAAUGGAAUUGGUAGUGGCUUCAGCACACCAUUAAGGUAAUAAUUUCCAACGUUUCAGACUGAUUUUUCAAAAGCAAAGUUAGGCUUUUAGGAGGAAGGAGAAUGAUGUAGAUUUAUGUAUAACUUCUGGACAUUCUUCCUAAAGAUUAGACUUAGAACUGAAGAAAACUGAAAAUGCUGGCUGGAAAAGUUUUCAUCUGGGCUGUGGAGACUGACUGAAAUGAAAGAGCAUCACAUCUGAUGAAGUGAUGAUGAUGAGUGAAUAAACUAUUGGAGUCUUCAGGAGUGAAGACAAGUUUGGAACUGAAAACAAAUUCAGACGUGUCCAGCUGGAUAGUGGAAAACCCAUGGGCAACAUAGACUUUCUGUAGGCAACUGGGGGAUAAACAGGAAAAAUCUUGAAAACAGGAAAAAUUACAGUGAAGACAUUCCAAUCAGUUCAUAAGUUCAACGAGGAGUUUAAUAAUGCAGUUUUGCCUUUGAAACACAACGGCAUUCUUUCAGUCUUGAAAUGCAGUGACAGCAGCUGCAGAAGAAUGUGGAGGUAUAGUGUGUGUGUUGCUGAGUGAUCCCCUGGUUGGUGCCACAUGUCUGAUGGCUUCCCCUGCAGAGGUCAAGGACAGCCCAUUGGGUAGAGGCACAACUGCUGACAUCCAAGGAGAGCCAAGAGAGAGGCCUUCUGUUCCAGCAUAUCCAUGGACAGGCUGAGUGCCUUGCAAUCUGGCUGAGGUAUGAGUCAGAAACCGGGCCAAGAUGUGUGUUUUCUUGUGCCAGAGAGUAGGGCUCA